ensembl:lncRNA
UUUUUUUUUUUUUUUUUUUUGGAUACUGAUGAAAACUAAGACUGUUGUAAUCUUCUGCCAUUUACAGGACCAACUGUUGUGAUACUGUGUGUCCUUUGACUCUUUCCCACUAAAAGAAAAAUAUCAAGACCAACCAGCUGACCCCAUUUUACCACUGUAACCUGCAGAGGGGACGCACAAUCAAGUGGUUUUGCAAGAUGUCUUUUGUAUGGAAACAUGUAUUUUAUAACAAAGACUUCCCUUUUCUGAUGUGUAGUGGGUAGUGUUUAAAAGACACUUUUCUGGUGACAGUUCUCCCUUACGUCCCCCCCAACACGUUUUUUUUGUUUGUUUGUUUUUACAGUAGAGAAGAUAAGAUUCAUUUUAUUCUGCUGUUUUACAGCUGCUGGGACCAAAGGAUUGCUGAAGUAUUUAAGCAAUCUCAAAUUCUGUGACCUUCCUGAACAGCCUCAGCCCUAAGUAAGGCGAGUUAAUGUGUUUGAAAAUUUUAAAACAGUAGAGUAUCCAGAAAGCAGUGUUAAUAAGUAGUGUAUUUUUUUAAUUGAUAUUAUAAGUUUGUGCUUCCAGUAAGUCGCAUUCUUAAAACUCCUUCCUUCACCCGGCUGCUGUCAGUGAUGGUUUAUUGGCUGGAGAAUUGGAUUUUAAAGCACUUGUCCCAGUAGUGUUCCGUUUGUGCACAGAAUUUUUGUACAGGAGUGGGGAAAAAACACGUCAUGUUCUGGUUCCCUAUUAUUCCAGAAAAUGUGCCAUUUACCUCUUACAGGUUUGCUUGGUUACUUACAGAGUUAGUUGGCAUGAAUUGUUAAUCACUCUUGGCAAAAAUCUGCUCUGAUGUGACUCUUCACUGUAUUAUAGACCCUGGCUAUGUGAUACUGAAAUACCUGUGCAUGAUUUCCUCUCUUUUUGUCAUAGUGGUGUUUUCUGUGUAUGUUGAACAUGUUGGCUUGUCGGCCGUGGUAUUUGUCAGCCAUGGUGUUUGUUACACAGCAAAUUUCUGCAGCAGAUCUGUUCUCCCUUUUUGACUAGCAGCUAAGGCUGGUGUGUAAAACGGGAUUUUUUUGACACUUAUUCUGUCCUCAUCUGCAGCAGUUUGUGGUUCCUUUGAAGUUAUAAGGGAAGGGGCCAUUCAAAUGAAAGCUGUUCAGGGACUUCAGUGAGGUUUCUCUUGUGUUCCUAGGGUUCAUUAUAUGUAUUUGAGUAAAUACAAUAUAGAUAUGUGCAAAAAAAACUGCCGUGACUUGAAUGCUGAUGUCAUAUCAUCCUAUAAAAUGUUUGCCUUUCAGCCUCUUCUACGGAGGUAAAUUCUGUCAUUUCAAAUUAAUAUAACUGUGGAUAUUUUUCUGGAUCUAAAUAUCUGAAUUGGUCUGUUAAGCAUGAGUCGCUCCUACUGACUUGCAUAUGCAUUGCUUCCCUGGCUGAGUUGCAGUCUCAGAUCCCUCCCUAAUUACAUCUAUCUGAAGAUUGUACUGUAAAUAUACCAACUUUGCUCAGUGCUUAAUACGCUGAAUUUGGCUGCAGACAUUUCACUAGGAGAAAAAAAAUAAUCUCUGUACUUUUGCAGAUAAUAGUCAUAGUUCUGAUGCAUGCUUACUGUUCCUCUAAAUCCAACAUAAAUAACUGUCUGAUAGCAAUAAACUUCACUGAGCAGGUAAGUGUAAAUCACAGCGGCCUACACAAGUCCUGCAUUUAGAGUGUAUGUUGAGCCCCUCUUUAAAACGUAAUGUAGAAGUUCAGCAAAUGAAAAAUGUUCCAUCUAUUAAAUUAGCAAAUGAACAUAAUUUAAUAUGCCAAUUUUCUUCCCAUCAAAAUAGAUAGGAUCAUGCAGAUGGGACUAAAAAAGCUCUGUUUUUGAGUGGCAGCUCUGAUUUACACUGAAUAAGUGUAGGAGAGGAGAGGACUUUGUGCACCAAAUUUGUGUGCUAUGAUCAGUCAAUGAGGCUUUGUGGUAUUAAUCAUUUUCUUCUGAAAGAGUUCCAGUGGAAUUUGAAGACUAGCACAUACUGCUUUAGAUAGGUUGUUUAAAGCUGAUACGGCUGGAUUCAUGAGAGAUGGGAUCAUUCAAGUGAAGGAAGUUCUUGUAAAUCUACUUUUCUCUGUAGCAGUAGCAUGUAAAGAGUUUCUCCAUCGAUGCCAAAACGCAUAGUGCUUCAUCAGGAAAUCUUAACUAAGUGGUUAAGAACUGAAGGGCUAAAGUUAACAAAUAGCCUUUGUUAUGGCCUUGAGACUUAACUGAUUUAACCAAAACUGCAUUAUGAUGUUUGUUUUAAUCACAGAGUGAUUCUCUCAAAUAACAGUGAGCUUUCUUAACUUGGAACUUUUUUUCUCCUGUUUUAGUACUCAAGCAUCUCUUCAGUAGCUCACAUUGUAUAGUAUUGGAUAAUGUACUGUGUAGAUUACUGAGCCGAUCUGUUAAAAAUACCAAUAGAAAUGUAUGAGGAGUUUGCUUUUUAUCAAAACAAAUUGGAUUCAGGAUGACAUUCAAUUUAUUGUUUUAUUUUUUUUAAUGUACAGGACUGUUCAGUGCUGUGGCAGCUCUACUUUAAUGUGAAUUCACACUAAGGACUCAGAAUUAAGAAAAUAUAUAACAGCACUUGUUCCAAGACCAGCUUUUACAAGUAUGCAUAUAGAACCUAGCCUUAAACUUCCUAUGUGCUGUCUUGUGCCAUAGCAGAGCUGCAAGGUAAAGUAUUUAAAUCAAUCUAAGAAUAGCUUUGAGGGUGUAUAUAACUUUAAAAAACAAAAACACACACAAACUCAUUUAUGUAUAGAGUUGAGAUACUCAGUUUUAUGAGGGGUUAACAUAUGGCUCAAGCACAGUUAUACUGAAAGAUUUCAAGUUCUUUCGGCAUUCUUCAAAUCCUAACUAUGCAUAGACCCAGUCAGUUCCUUGAUUACCUACUUUGUAGCUUAAAUACGUAAAAGGUCUAUUUUUACAUACAACGUGACACACUUGAUACUGUUUUCCUGAUAUUUUACACUUCUAGCCCAACUUGAAGGCUGAUAGCAGUGUUCAGUAACACUGACAGUUGAUCUUUUUAGAUAUGCUGAAUAGCGUUCCUCCAGUUGUAAAUUUCACAUCAUUCACAAGGAGGUGGUUGUUGUUUUAAUGAAGGCCUAUGCUGGCAGCUAUGACUGUUGGACUCUUUAUUUUAGGAAUCUGAGGCAUGAGGAAGCAGACUGCUCAUUAAACAGUAACAUGAUUUAGCUAUUUAUUCUUUUCUUGGUGCCAUAACCAUGUAGCAAUGAAUUUAAGUACAUGGAAAAGUAAAAAAUAAUAAUAAUAAAAAAAUACUGAUUGAGUACAUAGAGCCUGGGAGGAAAUUCUUGCAUGUGCAUAUCUUGAGAGAGAAAAAAGGGAGUGCAAAUUAAAUAUAGCAUACUGUGGAAGUCAGUGUUUGCUGCAUUUGCUGCAUUAUGUAAAUCAGCUCUUAAAAAGUAUGCUUACUCUCAGGGCUAUUUUCUUUUGUUUGUUCUAAGAUGCAGUUUACUGAAAUUGAGAGCUUAGGAUUUUUUUAAGAACACUGAAGUCUUUUGAAAAGAAAAAUGCUUCUAAAAAUAGGUGCUUGCACCAUUUUAUUGCUGUAAUAUCUGGAAAUGUUUUCAAUGUUAACGUAAACCUACUGGCAAAUAUCUUUGAGGAUUCAUUGUCCUACUAUAUAAAAACCUUGCUACUUCUGAUCUUGAUACUCAGAGCUAAUUGUUGCUAAGACAGCUUUUGAAACAAAGAGCGUGCAACUUUAAGAACAGCGUGGGGGGUGGAAAUGCAAAGAAGUCAGAUCCAUUAACCUUUCCUCUGCCUCAGGCCUAACUUCUUUUUGUUUAUGGAUUUUAAUAGAAUUCAUUGGUAUUUCUUGCUGAAAUGUGACCUAUUCUCUCUUGCCCAUCUCCGAAAUGUCUUUACAGUAACUCACUGCUAGUGAAAUCUGUUUUCUUGUGGAAUAUCUGACAGCUUCUCCAUGAAACUCUGACAGGGGAGUGAGGAGAGCACGUGGACACCAGUAACUUGUGGUUACAAAGAUCCUUGCUGCUGAGUGACUUCUUAGAUAUUUUAAUUUCCAUUGUCUCAUGGUGUAUGCACACACAGUCUGCGUAGGCCUGCUUCUGUAAACCGUAUGAUUUGGUAUUUUAGUUAAUCUUUUUUUAUGGACAGAUUUUCAGAACUUGACUCAUACAGAACUGAUACAUAAUUUUAGUACAAGUAUCUUCAAAGCAAAGCUUGUUUGUCGUUCUCAUGAAAUUAAUAUACCAUUAAUGUAACCUGCAAAAACGAGAUCUUUGCUACACAAGCACCCAAACACUUGAGAAUGUCAGGACUGUGCUUUUUUCCAUGUGAUCCUGUAGUUUUCAUUAGAUUAAUAGUCGAAGAAUAUUGCUUGGCUUUAUUCUUUCAUUUAUUGAAACGUGCAAUUUUUGAGAGUUAACAGUUAAGGGCUGUCCAAAACUGCCGUUAGAUUGGUCUUUGUAUGAAAUUGGCUGAUGUGUUUUCCUCUGUUACACUGUGAUUAACUUGUGGAGAUCUUCUUGUGUAUGUUGUACAGAUCAGUUACUUGUUGCAUGUAUGGCUAUUUUUGUAAGCAAGAGGAAUUCCAGGGAUGAUAUGCAUAAAGGGCCUAUUCUGAAAUGAUGUACACUGGUGUAAAACUGGAGCAGCUCUACUCAUUUCAAUGGAAUUCUUGAUUUACACUAGUCUUUGCUAUGUGUAGUUAUGCCAGUACUAUUUUGCACAAUGUUGUUUUAAAUCUUGAGUACUGAAUUGUGAACUGUUUCCACUAGAAACAGUAAAAAUUUUUACAAACUGCAAUAGUGGAAUGUUUUCGGGAUUUUUAUUUUAUUUUUUGCCUAAAAUAAAAAGUCAUCACUUCCA